rnacentral:snRNA from 1 species
AUCGCUUCUCGGCCUUUUGGCUAAGAUCAAGUGUAGUAUCUGUUCUUAUCAGUUUAAUAUCUGAUACGUACCCACAUUGUGGUACCUUAUAUUAAAUUGAUUUUUGGGACAGGGAGAUGGAAUAGGGGCUAGCUCCGUCCACUCCGCGCAUCAACCCGGUAUUGCAGUUUCUCCGGGAAUGGUGCACCUCCC